AGCCACCACGAAGGUGCAGCCCACAUCGUUUUCCUCGGGAUCAUCGUCCUCCUCCAGCAAACGGAGGCGGUACUGAGGGUUGGUCCAGAAAGUGUCUGCAGGACAAUUACAGCAUACCUGGGUAAUUCCUGCAGCCUCCGGCGGAGCAGCCUCUCACCCAGCGGCCCUCGUUCACAGAAACCGUCCACUUGUGGAUCUUAUCGUCCUCCAGGGCAUCAGGGGGUCCGUUCCAUUCCACUUGACCCCAUGGGUUCCUGAGACGCACCAGACGAACUUUAGACUCCUUGUGCUGAGAUGGUUUACACUUGCACUCACUUGGCGUAGGCCUUCUCCAGCAGGGCACUCCAGAACUCGUUCCUCUCGGCGGACUUGGUGAAGACCAGCUGGUUGUUGAAGGUGGGGAUGCGGUCGUCAAUAACGACAUCGACCCAGUCGCCAUAACGCCAGAACUGAAAGACAGAAGGAGGGAAAAAAUUUGAGCAUCAAAUACUGAGAGGAUGAGAAGCCGCUGAGUUUCAAACGAUGUUUACAGACUUUAAAGACUUGAAUCGAAAGGUUCCUCAUCAGGAUAAAUGAAAAAGUCCAAUGACUUGACUUAAAGACGAUGAAAUGCUGAAGGAAAGGGCUGAAUAUCAGGAUGCUCUGCUGGAGUACAUUUUCUGACCUGGAAGUGGAAGAUGCCGGCAUAGCCCUCUGAGAAGCUUUGCUCCUGAGGAACAACACGGUAGAGAAGCUUCUCAUUCAGGGUGAGACAGGCGAUGGCAGCCAGCAACCAGCAGUCACCUGAGCACAAAACAUCGUUUCAUUUAAUUCAUUUUGUGGAAUAAUUUCCACAAAUCAUAUAAUCAUACUAACAAACUGUAACCAUAGCUGGGAUGAUUUCAUCUUCUCUUGGCCCUAUGAAUUAUUUUAACUUCUUGGUGGAUAUAUUGACCUUCUCUGAUGGAUGUAUUUUGUUUUGGUGGAGGAAAAGACCGUCACUGAGUGCUGACGUUUGGAGUUUUCUGAUUGUCCAGGUGUGUGACAGUGUGUUAGCUGCUGGGCUGAAAACAAUGUAAGUUUUUCAACAGAGAACGGUUAACCGUGUCUGCCAGGACCUUUGUCCCUUUGGUCCCCUUUAUUUGCAGUCUGAACUGGACAACAAUGAGAAGUGCUGCUGGUUGGAUUCCCUUCCAAAAGAGUAAGCACAAUAUGGGGAGGCCGCUGCAGGCAGAGAGGCCGUGUGCGGGGGAUCGAUGCGAGCUGCCUGAAUACAGACCGAAUGUUCACUACAGAGGAGGUGUGAGUGUGACUCACUGGCAGAGCAGCCGGCCUGACAGCAUGCUGAACCUGCGCAGACAGAAGGCCUUUCUGUCACGGUAGC